rnacentral:rRNA from 1 species
AUUGAACGCUGGCGGCAGGCCUAACACAUGCAAGUCGAGCGGAUGACGGGAGCUUGCUCCUUGAUUCAGCGGCGGACGGGUGAGUAAUGCCUAGGAAUCUGCCUGGUAGUGGGGGACAACGUUUCGAAAGGAACGCUAAUACCGCAUACGUCCUACGGGAGAAAGCAGGGGACCUUCGGGCCUUGCGCUAUCAGAUGAGCCUAGGUCGGAUUAGCUAGUUGGUGGGGUAAUGGCUCACCAAGGCGACGAUCCGUAACUGGUCUGAGAGGAUGAUCAGGCACACUGGAACUGAGAAACGGUCCAGACUCCUACGGGAGGCAGCAGUGGGGAAUAUUGGACAAUGGGCGAAAGCCUGAUCCAGCCAUGCCGCGUGUGUGAAGAAGGUCUUCGGAUUGUAAAGCACUUUAAGUUGGGAGGAAGGGCAGUAAGUUAAUACCUUGCUGUUUUGACGUUACCGACAGAAUAAGCACCGGCUAACUCCGUGCCAGCCGCCGCGGUAA